CUGAGAAAUCAAUCAGGCUCGAUUGGAGCGAAUGGAGGCUUUCCAGAUGAAAGGGGUGGAGCUAGAGAAGAGUCUGUCAGAGGUCAGAAAGAAGCUGUCAGAGGCUCAGCGCAAGGUGAAGAAGCUGGAGGGGGCGAGUACAGAGCAGGCCAAGAAGGAGCUGGAGGAGGCCAAGAAUGAGGAGAAGCAGCUGCGCAAGGAGGAGAGGAGCUGGGAGAAGAAGAUAGAUGAGCACCGGAGAGAGGAGAAGAAGAUGCCCUGGAACGUAGAUACACUCAGCAAGGAAGGAUUCAGCAAGAGUGUGUUGAACAUAAAGCCAGAGGUGAAGGAAGAGACAGAGGAGGAAAAAGAGAAGAAGCACAAGACCUUUGUGGAGAAGUAUGAGACACAGAUAAAGCACUUUGGAAUGCUUCAGUGAUAACCCUCACCUGGUGUGUGAGGAGACUGCAAACUACCUGGUUAUCAUGUGCAUUGACCUGGAGGUGGAGGAGGAAGAAGUCAACAUUUCACCUCUCCCCCCCAAUCUUCGCUGCGAGUAAACUGACCAUUACAGACCGUUACAGGCCCAUCAGACCAUUGUUAUGCAGUUCAGCCUAAAGAUCGACCCACGGGGAUGUUUCCGCCA